rnacentral:sRNA from 1 species
AUCCGUCUAGCACGAGAGACGAGGUGAU